GGCCCAGACAGCCAGGAUGUUGGCUUAGAAGCAGCCAUCAUUUAAAGAAAGCGUAAUAGCUCACUGGUCGAGUCGGCCUGCGCGGAAGAUGUAACGGGGCUAAACCAUGCACCGAAGCUGCGGCAGCGACGCUGAUGCGUUGUUGGGUAGGGGAGCGUUCUGUAAGCCUGUGAAGGUGUGUCGUGAGGCAUGCUGGAGGUAUCAGAAGUGCGAAUGCUGACAUAAGUAACGAUAAAGCGGGUGAAAAGCCCGCUCGCCGGAAGACCAAGGGUUCCUGUCCAACGUUAAUCGGGGCAGGGUGAGUCGACCCCUAAGGCGAGGCCGAAAGGCGUAGUCGAUGGGAAACAGGUUAAUAUUCCCGUACUUGGUGUUACUGCGAAGGGGGGACGGAGAAGGCUAUGUUGGCCGGGCGACGGUUGUCCCGGUUUAAGCGUGUAGGCUGGUUUUCCAGGCAAAUCCGGAAAAUCAAGGCUGAGG
rnacentral:rRNA from 1 species